rnacentral:rRNA from 1 species
GACGAACGCUGGCGGCGUGGAUUAGGCAUGCAAGUCGAACGGUAGGAUACCUUCGGGUAUCUGAGAGUGGCGAACGGGUGAGUAACACGUAGGUGAUCUACCCUCAAGAUUGGGACAACCCAGGGAAGCUUGGGCUAAUACCGGAUGAAAGCAGCAGUGAUGUUGUUUGAAAGGUGGCGUAAGCUGCCGUUUGGGGAUGAGCCUGCGCUCUAUUAGUUAGUUGGCGGGGUAAAGGCCCACCAAGGCGAUGAUAGAUAGGCGGCCUUAACGGGUGGUCGCCCACACUGGGAUUGAGAUACGGCCCAGACUCCUACGGGAGGCAGCAGUCGAGAAUAGUCUACAAUGGCCGAAAGGCUGAUAGUGCGACGCCGCGUGAACGAAGAAGCCCUUCGGGUGUAAAGUUCUUUUAUAUGUGAGCAGUGCUUUCUAUGUGAACAGCAUGGGGAGAGAGAUAUUAGCAUAUGAAUAAGCAACGGCUAACUCCGUGCC